AAUAGUUUAAUGCCAUAUCAACAUUUUCAUCCUGAAUUUCAGGAUUUUUGUCCUAAAAAAAUCAAAUCUAAAUAAAACUCCUGAAAUUUAGGAUGAAAUUACUGGUGUGGCAUUAAACUAUU
rfam:Gossypium raimondii Chr10_contig_183, whole genome shotgun sequence.